UUUUUUAACUUGACAUCCAAAUUGAUACUCCUUCAAUUUGAACAUAUUCUUUUGCUCUAGCACUGCCUACAAUAUUACCUCUUAUGGAGGGAGAAGGCAGCAAUGGUGGAGGCAUGCGCAGGAAGCCACAAGAAAAAAGAAAGAGUAUGACCAGCUGCUCCUUCAAUGCGAGAAUAGAGGUAUUUGAAUUGAUCUGGUGGGCGGUGGCUGCUAUUCAUUUUCAGUUCUUAGUAUAGAUUUGAUGCCGAUGCUCAGUUUAAUGAUUUGUUUUUUUGUUUCCAAGGAUGAUGAGGAGCUCUUUGCUGCUGAGAGUAUGCAGAUCUGCUUCUCAAAGAUGAUGAUUUCUUGUUCAAUCACAAAGAGUUCAUGAUGGUUCAGCACAGGUCCAAUCCUGAAUUCCUCAUCCGAUGGUCUAUAUCCUCUUCUUGUGAAAUCAGGUCCUUCUGUAAUCUUGUAUCGAGGUCAGUCUGAUCUUUCCUUUUAUAUUGCUGUUUUUUUUCUCAUGAGCAUAUUCCUCUUUUCUGUAUUAUCAGUGGUUAGUACAGUUGCUUAAUAGUGGAGAGGGUGCAUUCAAGUUGGUUCUAUGCAGGCGAGCUUCCAAAGGUUGUACCUGAAAUAAUCAUGAAUCGUAUGUGUUGAUAAGCAUAUAUAAGCAUUUUAGUUGAAUCAUACAUUUGACAGUGUAUAUGUGUUGUCAGGUGACAAAUCAUAGUCUCUAUCAUCUAAGCUCUGACAACCUACAUGAGUUCAUUGAGUGAUUGAGAAGGGCAUAAGGAAGACUGACCAGCUUACCCAGGUUGGAAGAAUUUCCUUGACUUUCAUCUGAGAUAAAAAGAAUCUGAUUCUGUUGCAUAAUGUGUUUCUGGAUAGCAUUUAAUUUCUACUACAACUUUCAGGAAAGGCAGCAAACAUGAAUGCUUGAUACAUGCCAAAUGCUUGAUUGGAGAGUUCAUCAAGGCCUUCCA
rnacentral:lncRNA from 1 species